rnacentral:SRP_RNA from 1 species
GCUGGUGGCGAUGGGGCCGCCUCUGGAGGGAGGCGGCUACCAUCCUUGCAGGGGGAAAUAGGCCAGGCCCGGAAGGGAGCAACCUAACCCCUGACACCAGCGUUCACGGGUCAACGGGGUUGAGGUUUGGCUGGCUGUGGAUCCAUAUGGAUCCACAUACACUUGAACUGAGGGCUGUGCACCG